rnacentral:rRNA from 1 species
CCGGUUGAUCCUGCCGUAGGCUACCGCUAUUGGAGUUCGAUUAAGCCAUGCGAGUCCAGAGCUUUCGGAGCUCGGCGUACCGCUCAGUAACACGUGGGUAACCUAACCUAUGCAGGGGAAUAACCUCGGGAAACUGAGAAUAAUGCCCCAUAGUCCACUACGCCUGGAACGGUGAGUGGAUGAAAGCUCAGGCGGCAUAGGAUGGGCCUGCGGCGUAUCAGGUUGUAGGGGGUGUAAAGUACCCUCUAGCCCUCUACGCGUACGGGUGUUGGGAGACAUAGCCCGGAGAUGGAUUCUGAGACACGAAUCCAGACCCUACGGGGUGCAGCAGGCGCGAAAACUUGGCAAUGCGAGCAAUCGUGACCAGGGAACUCCAAGUGGCUGGGGUAAGACCCAGUCUUUUCAGAACUCUUCAAAGGUUUUAGAAUAAGGGGUGGGUAAGGACGGUGCCAGCCGCCGCGGUAAUACCGGCGCCUCAAGUGGUAGUCGCUUUUAUUGGGCCUAAAACGUCCGUAGCCGGUUUGGUACAUUCGUGGGUAAAUCAACUCGCUCAACGAGUUGAAUUCUGCGAGGACGGCCAGACUUGGGACCGGGAGAGGUGUGGGGUACUCUCAGGGUAGGGGUAAAAUCCUGUCAUCCUGAGAGGACCACCUGUUGCGAAGGCGCCACACUAGAACGGAUCCGACGGUCAGGGACGAAGCCUAGGGGCACGAACCGGAUUAGAUACCCGGGUAGUCCUAGGUGUAAACGCUGUGGACUUGAUGUUGGAGGAGCUCCGAGCUCUUUCAGUGUCGAAGCGAAGGUGAUAAGUCCACUGCCUGGGAAGUACGGUCGCAAGGCUGAAACUUAAAGGAAUUGGCGGGGGAGCACCGCAACCUGAGGAUUGUGCGGUUUAAUUGGAUUCA